rnacentral:tRNA from 1 species
UCACUAAUAUUUUAAUAGUCAAAUAGGCCGACUUUCAUCCAGUAGGUUGUAGGUUCAAAUCUUAUUUCGUGUA